UCUCCGUUGGUGAACCAGCGGAGGGAUCAUUACUGGAAUCGCAAGAUCCCACAACCCCUGUGAACCUACCGAAACGUUGCCUCGGCGGGCCCCCGGCCCCGCGCCGGGGGCCGAGCCGGCCGGCGGCCCCCUACUCUUGUCUCUUCACCGUGGCAUCUCAGAGUCCCAAAAAACAAGUAAAAACUUUCAACAACGGAUCUCUUGGCUCUG
rnacentral:misc_RNA from 1 species